UAUUUGGUGGACCUUCAUGGAACAUUAAGGAAUUCUGGGAAUGUUUAGGGGACUAUUACUAUAGGACGUUCUGUUAACUUCCCAAAUGUCCUCUUUGUAACGUUCUCAUGCAAUCAUAAAAUAAACGACUGAAUGAUUUAAAUUCAGAGAUAUUAUUACCAUUGUGGUCUUUCAUUAUGCAUUAUGGUUUUCUUUAAUUUGUUUUUACAAAUGUCUGUUUUUUUUUUUUCAUACACAAAAGUAACAAGUAUUGACAGACUGGAGGAGGAGUUUAUGCAAAACUGUGCUGUAUAUUUCUGUGUCUGUGUUCACUGACUGUAUGUGGAUCCUGUAGAGGAGAAUCAAUCAGCAAUGACAACAAUGAUCAGUUCACUCCUGUUAUUACUAUUUUUACAUGAUAUUCAUUGUCAGACCUUCACUCAGUCUCAAGCUGUGGUAAAAAGACCUGGUGAAUCUUUUCGGCUGGUCUGUACCGCCUCUGGAUUUACUUUCAGCAGCUACAGGGCAGCUGUGGUGAGACAGGGUCACGGUAAAGGACUGGAAUGGGUUGCAACUAUCAGCACAUCCAGUUCUUAUAUCUACUAUUCCCAGUCAGUCCAGGGAAGGUUCACAGUGUCCAGAGAUGACUCCAGCAGUCAACUGUACCUGCAGAUGAACAGCCUCAAGACUGAAGACACUGCUGUGUAUUACUGUGCUAGA